rnacentral:rRNA from 1 species
UACGAAGGGGGCUAGCGUUGCUCGGAAUCACUGGGCGUAAAGGGUGCGUAGGCGGGUCUUUUAAGUCAGGGGUGAAAUCCUGGAGCUCAACUCCAGAACUGCCUUUGAUACUGAGGAUCUUGAGUCCGGGAGAGGUGAGUGGAACUGCGAGUGUAGAGGUGAAAUUCGUAGAUAUUCGCAAGAACACCGGUGGCGAAGGCGGCAUCCUGGACCGAUACUGACGCUGAGGAGCGAAAGCCAGGGGAGCAAACGGG